UAUCGGUAUGGGAUGGGGUCGCGUCCUAUCAGCUUGAUGGCGGGGUAACGGCCCACCAUGGCUUCGACGGGUAGCCGGCCUGAGAGGGCGACCGGCCACAUUGGGACUGAGAUACGGCCCAGACUCCUACGGGAGGCAGCAGUGGGGAAUAUUGCACAAUGGGCGCAAGCCUGAUGCAGCGACGCCGCGUGCGGGAUGACGGCCUUCGGGUUGUAAACCGCUUUUGACUGGGAGCAAGCCCUUCGGGGUGAGUGUACCUUUCGAAUAAGCACCGGCUAACUACGUGCCAGCAGCCGCGGUAAUACGUAGGGUGCAAGCGUUAUCCGGAAUUAUUGGGCGUAAAGGGCUCGUAGGCGGUUCGUCGCGUCCGGUGUGAAAGUCCAUCGCUUAACGGUGGAUCUGCGCCGGGUACGGGCGGG
rnacentral:rRNA from 1 species